rnacentral:rRNA from 1 species
CCUACGGGAGACAGCAGUAGGGAAUCUUUCACAAUGGGCGAAAGCCUGAUGGAGCAACGCCGCGUGCAGGAUGAAGGCCUUCGGGUUGUAAACUGCUUUUAUAAGCGAGAAAUAUGAUGGUAACUUAUGAAUAAGGAUCGGCGAACUACGUGCCAGCAGCCGCGGUCAUACGUAGGAUCCGAGCAUUAUCCGGAGUGACUGGGUGUAAAGAGUUGCGUAGGUGGCAUAAUAAGUAGCUAGUGAAAUCUGGUGGCUCAACCAUUCAGACUAUUAGCUAAACUGUUAAGCUCGAGACCGUUAGAGGUAACUGGAAUUUCUAGUGUAGGGGUGAAAUGCGUAGAUAUUAGGAGGAACACCAAUAGCGAAGGCAGGUUACUGGGACGGUUCUGACGCUGAGGCACGAAAGCGUAGGGAGCAAACGGGAUUAGAUACCCUUGUAGUC